GACGAACGCUGGCGGCGUGCCUAAUACAUGCAAGUCGAACGCAGUGGGGACGGGUGAGUAACACGUGGGUAACCUCCCAUCAGAGGGGAUAACACUUGGAAACAGGUGCUAAACCGAUAGUGAUGGAUGGACCGGGGGUGCAUUAGCUAGUUGGUGAGGUAACGGCUCACCACGGCCACGAUGCAUAGCUGACCUGAGAGGAUGAUCGGCCACACUGGGACUGAGACACGGCCCAGACUCCUACGGGAGGCAGCAGUAGGGAAUCUUCGGCAAUGGGCGAAAGUCUGACCGAGCAACGCCGCGUGAGUGAAGAAGGUUUUCGGAUCGUAAAAUUCUGUUGUUAGGGAGGCGGUAUCUAACCAGAAAGCCACGGCUAACUCCGUGCCAGCCGCCGCGGUAAUAC
rnacentral:rRNA from 1 species